rnacentral:tRNA from 1 species
GAUCUUGUAGCUCAGUGGAAUAGAGUCUAUGUUUCCGAAGCAUAGUGUCGAGGGUUUGAAUCCCUCCAAGAUCU